GGGAAAUAAAUUAAAAAGUUUUCUGUUUUAAAAUUACAUUUAAGUUAAUCUUGAAAUUUAUAGCUUGGCCUAACAAUUUUUUACAUGUAAUGUGACAGAAGGCUUGCUUUUAUGGUGUUUCGAAUGGAGUAUAAUAUCAAAGAAUGCCUUUGAAUCGUCGUCCUCCCCUCCGGUGAAUCAGCGGUAAGAUUAGCAACUUAUAACACCAAAAGCCAAUGUUCGAUUCUCUGCAGUGUACAGAGUGCAUGUAGCCCAUACAAAAAAUUCUUUGAGCCACAAAUAACCUCGUUCACUAGAACGCCAUCUACACCUGGAAAGUCAGUCAAAGAAACCACAUUCCUCUAACUGAUGGAACUGGAUCAGUCAACAAGGGCAUCACAUGAGAUCCCUAUUAAAAAAGAGUUUUGUAGCAUGAAACAUUCUAUAGUAGCAAUAGUUAUAUUUUCUACUGGAACAUCAGGUGAUACCCCAUGUAUACAUCAUCCCUUGUUUGAUAGUAAGAGUGACCCUCAGUACUGUGAGUGGUGCCUGCACCCUGAGAGAGCUGACAUUAUUGACUUCCCUAUAUAAUGCCAUGUUUUCUCAGUCUAGAACAAUAAAGGAUAAGAAACUUCAAAGGGCAGAAGAGAUUACAGAUAGCGACUGAAAUACAAACUGAUUUACUACAACACACUCAAGCAAAGGUGUCACUUUUUACUUGCCGUUUCAAAGCAGUGGUUGUUUUGUGAAGUAUUAAUGAACAGUGAUUGUUUCACUGUGUUUCACAUUGUACCAAGUCACUUUCUUUACUUCAAAGUCAGAAAGGUUUAGGAGAAAUCAGAUUUUGCUCCACAAAACAUUGUCUGGCCAAACUCGUUUUUCUGCAGCUCUUACUCAAUUGUUCACAGAAAAAUAAUUGAGUCUGAGAAUACAACAUAAUCAUUUAUUUCUGUAAAUACAUUAUUAUCAUUUUGAUUAGACACAAUAAUUAUAAAAAUCAACUAAGCCUGACAUUUCUCACUAAGAAUGAACGUUCUCAAGAGUAUC
rnacentral:misc_RNA from 1 species